UCAGGCCUUCCUCUUUCUUGAGACAUCUCUAGAGUGCUUUUUGUUCUCUUCUAAGUAUCUAUUGAUAUACAAAAAAUAAAAAAUAAUAAUAAUAAAAAAAACACCAACAUUGGUUAUGGGCCACACUUCCAGGUGGCUCUUAUAGGAGCUGCUUUGCAUUUAAAAAAUUUUCAGGUCAUUUUCCAGUCCUUAUCAGCUCCAAGCCUGGUACACUUCAUAAGCACCUAGUAGCAGUUGAUAGAUCUUGGGCGAAGCUACUGGUUUGCAGGCAGUCACUUUUACGUGUCUUGUUUCUCUUGCUGACUUACUUCCCGUUGCUCUUGUUCUGAACACUGGUCUAUAUAACUUUCUAGGUGAAUCAUUAAAACUCACACAUCUCAGCCAAUUUAAGUCAAUGUAACUAUGGAACAUAAAACUCUCCAACAAAAAGAAUAAGCUGUUACCAAACAUUUAAAUUUUAUUAAAACAAAUCAGAAUUUAUAUAAAAUUUCAUUUGAAAGUAUUGAAAAUCUUCACUGUAACUCAAGUGCAGUUAUUAACUAUGCAGUUUCUGGUACAUAAAAUGGUGACACAUUAUUAAUAUAAAUAAAUCUUACCUACCUUUCUCUCCAAAACACCACAUACAAACAAAAUAUUUUUGUAGGUAUUUAAUUAUUUUCUCUGCUGUUCUCUACUAUCAAAAAGGCAGAUAUGAGUUUAAAAGCAAUAGUAUAAAUUUAUUGUGCAUACUUCUGUCACUUAUUCAGUGCUAAGGAUCUUUAAAUUUCAAAAUACAGCAAUAAGAACGAGCAUUAUUCUCAUGAUGGUCUGUAUGUGACUUCUGAUGUAAUUAUCCAUACGUUAACAGAAAUACAAUGUUUUUGUUAUGAGUUACAACUACACUCAAAGAGAUCUACCAUAGAGAUAUUGGUAUAAAGUUUUUAAAGAUUUCAGGUAUUUGGAGUCAAACAGAAUUAUUUUGAGGAUAAUUGGAGAGAGAGGAUAUGAAGAAACAUGACAUUAAUUAUACAGAUUAAUAUGCUAUGUGUUUUCUUUAGGGAAAAGGAUUGGGAAGCUGAUGUCAGUAUCAUAAUUUUCUCAUUAGUAGAAUAUAACUAUGGCCCAUGGGCACUGCCAAAUUUAGAGACCCUGGACUUCUUAAUAAAACACUGGUGAAAAGUCUCCUGCACCACCAUAGCUAAUAGUUCAUUGGUUUUGGAAUCAAGCUAGUAAUGGAAAAAUGCUGUUCUUCAUGUCCACAAGUCUUCUACAUGACCUGCAUCAAGAUUACCCUGACCAGCAGAUGCCUCAGCAGCAGAAUACCUAAUAAGAUCUCUUUGAAAGAACAUAUGCAAUCUAGCAGCCCCCAAACUGUGAAUGACUGUCAUAAAUUUCAGUACACUGGGUCUGUGUGGAUAAGAUAGUCUUACUCCCUGAAUGACUCACUAGACCAAAGGAAAGUAGUCUGCACUAUCACCUGAUGUAGCAUUUCAAAUGCUGUUUAUUAUCAAGGGCAUUUAUCUGUUUGUUUGUGUAAAAGAGUGCUUUUGAUCAAUGAAUAAAUUUGACACACAUAUCCAGGAAAUAAUACCAAAUUAACCUUUAAAUUGUUUCAUUUAGGAAUUCAUUUAUAUUCUGAGAAAUGUUCCAUAUUUUUUUUCUUAGUUGAGACUUUUCAUUGUAUCUUUCAGCAAUUUUGUCAUUAAUAUGCUCACUAACACAUUAAUGGAAGUCUGUUGUUCACAGUGUUUCAUUUUUUCAUAUUAAUUCAUAUUGUACUAUUUGUAUUCACGGUGGUGAACACUCCUUUUGAUCUGCAUCUUAUCACAUUAAUGAUUUUGCUACAAAAACCAUUGUAUUUUGAGACUUCAAUAAUCUGUUAGAAAAUUUAAAUACUAAUAAUUCAAAGUUGAUCAAAACAUAUGGCAAAAAGGUCAAUAUAUGAGCAGUAAUAAUCAGGGGUUAGCAAAGCUACUAGAAAAAUACAAAACUCAUCAAUAACCACUGUAUCAAAUAUUUUUAAAGAUGAAUAAUGACAUGAGAAUCUAGAGUUAGAUUGUUAAUUAAUUAUUAUUGCAUAAUUUGUAACUAAACUUAUUUCCAACAUUAAUUAAAUAGAUAAGGAUAUUGACACUGUUUUUAUGCCCUGUUGUUAUGCAUUUUCAUCUACAUCUUUUUCUCCCUCUCUGUCCUUUUUAUUCAGUGUAUCUGUAUUAGUUUUGCUCUCUGUUGAUGUGUUGUCCACAUUAUUCAGGCUGCUCCUGAAAACACAUUCAGACAUUUUCACAUUUCAAACAACUCAGUUCUAUGAGUACCUGUGGUAAAUAUGUAAAAUCCAGAAGGCUGUGGGGAAUUUGAAGCUAGGUAAAAAGGGCUUUCUUUCAUCCAUACUGUAUGCAGUACUGGGUUGAUGGUCAUUCUUUUUAGAAAUUAUAUUAUAUUUGUCACUUUCCAAUACCUCGAUGACAACCAAUCCUUAUUUUUUUUAGUAUCAGAUAAAUGCAAGCCAAAGUAAUCAAACUUCAGCUGGGAAUGUUUGAUUGUGGGCAGCUAAAGUUUCUAAACAUUAUCUUGUAUUUAAGCAUUUAAAUUCUAUUUUGUUUCAUUUCUUUAAAUACAGUUCCUCUGCAGAUUUGGAGGUAAAGGUUUUUAUUUACAAUAUUAAGCUUUGUUCCAAUUAUGCAGCACACCAGUAUGCUCUGGAGUUUAAGCAAGUAAACGACUGGAGAAACAGAAGUAAUGUUAUUUCUUAAGAAAGUUAAAAGAGAGAUGUGAAAUUUCCAGGAUCAAAACACACAAAAAAAAUGUUUCUAUCAAGACACAAAGUGGGUUUUGGUGUUCUUAGAUUCACAUCUAUUCAGUUCAAAAUUGCCUUCUUAAAAUGAUGUAUUUAAUAAUAAAGAAAGCACAGAAGUAGACUUCCAACUGCAAAACUGAUUUUGCUACUGUCACAGGCCAGGAUUUUAAUUAUUUAAUUAUUUAUUAAAAAGGGUUUCUUUGUAUAUUAUAGCUAAUUAAGUCUUAGGUUAGCUCAUCUUAGACAGCUAUAUACAAAACCUUUACCACUUUUUGCAGGCUCUCGUGUUAAAUGUUUCAUACUCACAAAGUAAUUCAGGUUUGUUCUAAGCUGAGAGUAUUUCAGGCAGGCUUCUGAACCUGCAAGCUAUUCUGUGCAGUUUGACCUUUCCAUCUGAGCACAGACUUUCUAACUCCCACAGCAGUGGUCUCUGGUGUCAGGGGCUGCCUACACACAGCAGCUUGCAAGACCAGAAUCAUCAUCAUGCAGGAGGAUCCAAAAGUACAUUAAAAGGCCACAUCAAAAAUCUAUAGAUGUGAAAUUAUUACUGGUUAGAUGUAUCAGAGGAGCUAUCUAUUAUCAGAGCUAUCAGAGGAGAUUUCCUAUAGUUCCAAUUAAAGUUUCAACUUUGGAACUUAGACUGCUAAGUUCUAUGACUACAAAUAGUCAUAGGAAUCUUUCUUGUGUAAAGAAGUAAAUCACCUUUGCUAUAAGUUAAAAUAAAAUAAAAUAAUUCCAUAUAUAUUUAAUAUGUUGCAGAAUUUGUUGUAUUCAUACGUUAUAUGAUACAAGUGGAAAAUCAACUAAUCUUCCUGAUCAUGCUCCUAAACGUUUGCUCUCCAGCUAACACAAUAUUACAGAUGAUUACAACUAAUUCAUGAGUAAAACUUAUCUUCCAUUUCAUCGCCACUGCCUCUCUCUAUUUAAGUGCUCAGAUUCCUGAAAUGCAAAUGUACCAGGAGGUAGUAUUUCAGAUUUCCAUAGUUUCAUCCUUGUCACCCUAUGCAUCCAUCCAUCCAAAGGUUCCUGUUUCUCUGUCCACCAGAUUUAAGGCUCCCAACAACAUUAUCAAGUGCAUUCACCAGCCCCCAUCUGUCUUUCAUCUCUCCUUUGGACUUGAGGUCAGUUUAACAUUUGUUUGCCCUAUGGUGUUAACUAAUCAUUCUAUUUUUCCAGCAGGUAUAUUUAUAUUUUGUUUGAUGCUAGGCCACCUGCUUUAAGGAGAACUUCAUCAGUGAUGUCCAGAAAGCACUUCAUCAGUCUUUAAGUCAUUGCUUGACAUUCUUUUGCCGCAGUAACUUUCAAACAUACAAAUACCCUUUGGCAGCAGGUAUGCAGGAGAUGUACUUACACUCCUGCCUGCUAGGAUGACAAAUUUUGUCUCCCCUGGUGUGUUCAGAAAAGAAGGGUGGUUUGAGACUGUGUAAACAUUCAAGUUUGCUUUAAACUGCCCUUAGGCAUUCCACUGGCUCCUUGGACACCAAAUCCUCUGUAUCUCAGUUUUAUCUUUCCUCUUUAGAUUGGAGAUGUUAAAAGAAUAUGAACCACAAUUUUGGUUUUGCAGUUUUAUAGUAGGCCCCACAUACAGGGGACAAAAUGGAGUCCCAGUUCCUGAUAGAUUUCUAGAUAUUUUCAUUUAAAUUCAUUAAAUAAAGUAAAAAUAAAAUAAAAUGAUAAAACUAAACAAAAUAAUUAUGAAAUUGGAUUCCCUGUGAAGAAUCCAAGUUAAUCCUAUCUAUUGAGACUGGUGAGUUGCUGCAUAUGAAUGAGAUCUGUUAGGCUAUUUCCUUAGUCUUACUCCUGCAGAAGUACUGCAAAAGUAAUGGCCUGCUCUUAAAAUGAAUAUCUAACCUAAUCUUGGUGCAGUGUUGCAAACCAUAGCUGCUGAGUACAGGUUGCUUUUUUUGUUGUUUGCUUUGGAUUUUUUUUGUUUUGUUUCGUUUUUUUUAAUUCCAUGGAAGAAUGAAGCCCAACAGUGAUCUUCCUGAGUUGUCCCUUUUUUCUUUUUUUUCCCCAGAAAGAUGAGGAAAUAGACUUCUAAUAACAUGAUAAGUCACAGUAGGACAUACAAAAACAACUUUGCAUUCUGCUUCCUAGUAGGUUUUAUGGAGAGCCUGGAGGCUGAAUCACCAGCACUUUUUCUUUGCCUUUCCUUUCCUUUCCUUACCUUUCUGUGAAAUGAUGUUGUGAUUUUACUGCUGGGAACAAAUGUACAAACACGAAAAAUGAAAUCAAGGAUUAAAAUUUUACUCAAGUCAGUCUGAAAUAUAUUUUAUUUUGACAACUCUGUUCCUUUUUUCCUAUUGCUUAUUCAACCACCUGAGUUCUCGUUUUAGUUUGAAUGUGUUUUCAGCUUAGCAGGAUACUAAAUGAUUCUGCUUGCAUGUCUGGUUUUUUGUUGUUGUUUUGUUUGUUUUGGGUUUUGGGUUUUGUUUUGUUUGUUUGUUUUUUGUUUUUUGGGUUGUUUUUUUUUUUUUUUUUUUUUUUUUUUGGCUUUCCAAAUAUUUAAUUGAACUCCCAUUUCUGGUACCACAAACUUGCCAGGUUACUUGCAUAAUACAAAGACUUUAAAACUUUCCAAUUGAGUUUUAUUUUUUACUUGAAUCUAAUUACUACUGUUGGACCUGGCCUUGUUUUCGCCGUUAUUCACUCUUCGAAGUUACUCAUUUCAGAGCUUUUAAAAAUCAUUCAAGUAAUUUGUCCAAUCAAGUUAGAUACUUGGUUAUUAUUAGUUGUUUUUUCCUGCAAGUCCAUGUAAGUAGUCCAGCUCCAUCUAUCUGUAUGAUCUAUUGAGCUGUGCUAUCUAUUUAUGACAUAAUGGAAAAGCAGGCAAGAGUGAUGGGAUCUGUGUGCUUGGCAGUAGCAGUUGCAAUCAAUAUUCCAGACAUGAACAUGCUGUCAGAAAUUAAGGAUGCACAGAACUGUAUUAUUUUAUCAUAGGCUGGGUUAUUUUCAAAGGAAUCUGGGGGACUUAGAGGCCCAGUUCUCAUUAAAUUCUAAUGGGAACUGGGAGUCAAAUGUUAUUGAGCUGUCUUCAAAAAAAAUCACAGCAGUGGAGAAUAAUUUGAUGAGGUCACCCAAUGAAGAUAAAUUCACCAUGAUUUCUACAUGCAGUUAAACAGCUUCUUGGGCUUAAUUCUUCCAUUUUAAGAGGAUUAAGGAUACCAAAAUAAAUUGUAUUUAUAUUUUCAUAGGAUUUUCAAUAAUGUUUUCCUAGCAAUAGUCUGGUUUAUUUUUUCCUUUUAGAGUCAAAUUGUUUUUAAUGUCAUACUUUGUCCUCACUUUCCCACAAUCUCAAGAGGAAGUGAUGAAAAAUGCAACUGCAGAUACAAUCUGCAAAACCUGGGGAGAGGCAGGGGUAAGGAAAGCAAGUAUGCAGUAGACAUUCUAUUACUUUCAUAUUCCGUGGGUAAUCGUGGAAGAAAGAAAGGGUGUGCUCAAGUUCAUAUAUCAUUUGAGUAGGAAGGAACCCUUAACGGUCAUCCUUGCAAUGAAAAAGGAUAUCCAAAGGUAGAUCAUGUUGCUUAGAACUCCUCCAACCUGAUCUUCAGUGUCUCCAGGGAGAGGGAAUCCACCAUUUCUCAGGGAAAUAUGUUACAAUGCCUCACCAUCCUCACUGUAAAAGACUUUUUCCUUAUAUCCUCUCUUUUAGUUUGAAAUCAUUUCCCCUUUUUCUAUCAUCACAGACCCUGCCAAAGAGUCUGUCCCCUUCUCUCCUGUAGGUCCCCCUUAGAUACUGAAAGGCAGCUAUCAGGCCACUUUUUAUGAGGGCAUGUAGGAACCUGGUCUAGUAGGAGAUGUCCCUGCUUAUAGCAGAGAGGUUGGAACUAGGGAUCUUAAGAAACCCUUUCAAGACAAACCAUUCUAUGAUUCUAUAAUUCUAUGACUCCUUCAAUAAUGUAGUUAUAUAUUAAAUUUUGUUCAAAUCCUUGUCAAAGACCUAACAACAUGCUGGGCUUCUGUAUAAUAAAAAUAAUGAAAAGAGGCAAACUGGAAUGGCAAGGAUUUUGGAAUGGUGAAGUGGAAUAUUUCCCAUGACCUUCCAGCUGUCCUAGAAGCAAUGGUCAGCAAGCUGGCUUGAUACCUUCUGUAUCAGUGCUCAUGUGUUUCCUCAUACAGGCAGAAAUACUUCUCAAUUUUUUCUUCUCACUUCAUGAUUCUACAGGAAAGUGUUUCAGCAAUUUGAAAUUUCACUCCUGUAAAAAGACUAAUUUUACAAUAACAGUGGGCAAAUUUAUAAAAGACUUAUAUAAGAAUGAUGGAGAUCUGUCUUUCUGGAUCAGAUUUUUUGUAAGACAUGCAAACUGUACAGCCCACUUGAAGAAUCCUGUUCUCGUCUCAUCACUGCAAAUAAAUAAUUCAACAAAUUUACAGGAGUGUGUUGGAAAUCCAAACCCACAGAUGAGUUCUGAGAUGCUGUUCUUAAUAAAAUCAAGUUUCCUUUGAGUUGAUUCAACUCAUAGAUCAUAAAACCAUAAAACUCUUUUGGGAAACACUCGACAUGUUCAUAAGUUCAUAGUCGUAUUUUCUCUUCCAUACAGUUUCAUAAAAUGGUCACAUAUUUAUAGAAGAGGUUUGCCUGCAAGCCGGGGUAUGCAGCUGAGGUUCUUUUUCUAUCAUUUGUUUUCUGAAAUCGAGGUAUGUAAAACUGAAAAUUAAAUAACAAGUUGAGGGCCUCAACUACUAGUAAGGGGUGAUUAACAGUGGUCUCUCUUUCCUCUCUCUUUUCUUCUUCUCCAAAUAUCCAAUGGUGGUACCAGAUAUACUAAUUAGAAAACCCAGUGCAGUAGUGAGGCAAUUUUCUUUUACAAUGCAACCUUUGCUGUGACUACUCCAUGAAAGUAAGACAAGAUCUGUUAAAAUAAUAUUAAAGAUGAGUUACCCAACUGAAUUAGAAAGUAGGUUUUAUACAAAAGAAGUGAGCAGGGAAAUAAAUAUAGAAUCAUAGAAUCAUAGAAUAUCCCGUGUUGGAAGGGAUGCCUAAGGAUUGAGUCCAACUUCUGAUUAAAAUGUAAAUAUGGUGAAUAAAGAAACAGAAAGAUGGAACAACUAGCUUUUUAGUCAAACUAUGCUUUCCUCCUGUCCUUUCAGUUUUCCACCAGUUCAAGUUUUCUCUAAACAUAUGAAUAUAUUUAUAGACAUACAGCUAUGCAUACAUGCAUGAACAUACACAUCUAUUCAGUGGAUGUGAAACAGCCUUCUAUCUAGCACAUUGUACCUAUGAUAAUAUAAUGGCUCCAGUUUAGUUAAAAUUUACAUAUGAUCCUUCACAUAGAACUCAGAUAUCUUAGAACACAGUUUUAUAUGAUGUUAAUGCAGCUAACAGUUCCAAAGAAAUAUAUCUGUUAUCCCCACUGUGGCUAUUCUGUAUUCUUUGUCAGAUUUCAUUUUUAUUACCAAUAGUCAUUCCACAAUUCUCAUACUUUAUUAAAAGACAUUUGUUUUUUUAUGAGGGAAUGUUUUCUAAACUUAUGAUCUCAUUACAAUUAACAACAAUAACUUGCAGCAUUGAUUUCCAGAAGAAAAAAAAAAAAACAAAACAUGAGAAAAUGGAUGCAUUUUUAAACAACUAAGUGUUUUGCUUGGUUGUGGUUUUGUUUUUGGUUUUGGUUUUUCUUUUCAUCUUCUCUCCACUCAGAAUGUUUCUAAAUGUUACUGGAAGUACUGUCCUUCACAUAGUCAUUGAAACUCCAAAGUGCCUAUGAGUAAAGUAAUACAUUCUCAAUCAGUUGAAAAUAAUUGGGUGGAAAACAUUCUGCUACUUCCAGACCCAGUCAAAUCAGUGUAAUGGUUUCUGAGAAAGAAGAAACUUUAUUCAACUUUCAUUCAUGUAAAGAAUGAGAUAAUAGAAGACUUCCAUGGUAGAUAAGCACCCUGCAGGUACUGUAGCUUGUUGCAGCAUACAUAAGGCCUUGUUGGGUACAUCACUUAAGGUAAAAACUCUCUUAAAUUGUAUUCUUCCUCCAGGCUUCAAAUACUUUUUUUUUUUUUUUUUUAAUGGAGUGAAACAGUUUCUGGAGGGAUUUUGAACCCCAGUAUGACUUUUUCUUUUGAAUGGCAGCUCUGAUCUUGGAGAAUUUUCUAUAGUUCUUCCCCAUCUUUAAUUAGGUAAAAUUUUCCUAUACAGCAAUACCUGGGAUCUCACCAUCAGCUUAAAUCAUUAUUUCCUAAUCAGACCAAGAAAAACAAAAACAAUCAAUGGUAUGGAUGUGUCUUUUUGGUAUUCUUUAUGCCCACAACCUUUGUGUGGUUUUCAGUUUUAAUUGAAAUUCUGUAACAGUAGAGUUCAAAGGCAGAGUGGAUUUCAGCCAGUGUACUGCAGCAACAGCAGCAGCACUGCCAGAGAGGUGUGGUUGUUUGACAAAGAAAAAUGUUCCUUUGCUUUUUAUAGCACACCAUUGUUACCGGCUUCCCUUUUAUUGCAGUGGGAAAGAUAGCCGCCACUUUAGUGUUCAAACGCUGUGCCCAUGAGAAUCCCUUCUCAGCUGCUCGUACCUUUCCAAAUUACAUUCCUCCUGAGCUGAGACUAUUCACCUUCACUCUCCACACAGACACAACUGAUUGAAGAAAGCCUGCAUUAACAAAGAAAUAUCAUUAAAUUAAAAACUGGAAAAAAUAUAGAGCUGUAAACAUGUUAGAGAAGAGUGUUUUGAACAGUGGUGACUAGAAUUUACUCUAACUUGACUUAUUUGACCUUGCUUAUGUUUAACAUUGGUUGAUUUUCAUUCAAGACAUGCUAACAUUUAAAUGAUAUAUGACCUAUAUACACAUACAUGUGAGCAGUAGGAAAAGCAUGAAGAAGGAAAUUAGUUCUUUAAGGAAAGCCUUGCAUAGCUCAACAUUACCAAAAAGGCAUGAAAGACUUCUUAGCAAGGUUUACUAGCUUUUACAUGCUACUUCAUUUUAAAAUGUCCAUUCUCUCAUUUUGAUUCAG
rnacentral:lncRNA from 1 species